rnacentral:rRNA from 1 species
UGGGGAAUUUUGGACAAUGGGCGCAAGCCUGAUCCAGCCAUGCCGCGUGGAUGAUGAAGGCCUUAGGGUUGUAAAAUCCUUUCGUUGGGGACGAUAAUGACGGUACCCAAAGAAGAAGCCCCGGCUAACUUCGUGCCAGCAGCCGCGGUAAUACGAAGGGGGCUAGCGUUGUUCGGAUUUACUGGGCGUAAAGCGCGUGUAGGCGGGCUUGUAAGUUGGGGGUGAAAUCCCGAGGCUCAACCUCGGAACUGCCUCCAAAACUGCAAGCCUGGACUCAAGUAGAGGCAAGUGGAAUUGCGAGUGUAGAGGUGAAAUUCGUAGAUAUUCGCAGGAACACCAGUGGCGAAGGCGACUUGCUGGACUUGUAGUGACGCUGAGACGCGAAAGCGUGGGGAGCAAACAGGAUUAGAUACCCUAGUAGUCCCUGAGCGGGCUGGCAAGGCGCAU